rnacentral:sRNA from 1 species
UUGCUUAUGAGAUUCUUGUUGAUGCGAA